UUGGUGCUAAAGAUUUUUGCCCAUCUCAACUAAUUGCUUCUAUGCUGACAGCUGGCACUGAGCUUUUUGUGCCAGUACAGAGAGCUCUGUUUGAUUCUGUGUGUCAGCAUGGCUUUGUCUGUCUUUGCACGUCAUGCAUGCCUGUGCUUAAGGAUUUGUAUGUGACUGUAUUCCAGUCAGCCCCUGUAUUAAGACCGACAAAUGUACAAAGAGAAGUGCCUACCAGUGCCAGUUAUUGGAUUUGAAGAAAUUAUUGAGUGAAAUACAAUGGUCAUUGUUAUGCAGGGGAGCAGUUGAAAUGAUCAUAAUGGUUCAUUUUGGCUUUAAAAUAUCAAUUGAAGGUAGGAAGAUACCGUAGUCGUGCCUGCGCUCAUGGGCAUGAGAAAGGUCAAGGUCACUGCUAUGAGAAAACCACAAGCAAGAUCACUAUCAAGAAAAAAAUUCUGAGAGGGAAAGUUAACCCUGAACCUUGCCAAACCUGUCUUAAUGUGCCAGAGAUAAGGAA